rnacentral:rRNA from 1 species
UACGUAGGCAGCGAGCGUUGUUCGGAGUUACUGGGCGUAAAGAGUGCGUAGGCGGUUUUUUAAGUUUGGUGUGAAAUCUCCCGGCUUAACUGGGAGGGUGCGCCGAAAACUGGAAGGCUUGAGUAUGGGAGAGGUAAGCGGAAUUCCUGGUGUAGCGGUGAAAUGCGUAGAUAUCAGGAGGAACACCUGCGGUGUAGACGGCUUACUGGACCAUAACUGACGCUGAGGCACGAAAGCGUGGGUAGCAAACAGG